rnacentral:rRNA from 1 species
CCUACGGGAGGCUGCAGUAGGGAAUAUUGCUCAAUGGGGGAAACCCUGAAGCAGCAACGCCGCGUGGAGGAUGAAGGUUUUCGGAUUGUAAACCCCUUUUGUUAGAGAAGAAAAUGACGGUAUCUAACGAAUAAGCACCGGCUAACUACGUGCCAGCAGCCGCGGUAAUACGGAGGGUGCAAGCGUUACUCGGAAUCACUGGGCGUAAAGAGCGCGCAGGCGGGGUAGCAAGUCAGAUGUGAAAGCCUGUGGCUUAACCACAGAACUGCAUUUGAAACUGGUAGUCUGGAGUAUGGGAGAGGUAGGUGGAAUUCUUGGUGUAGGGGUGAAAUGCGUAGAGAUCAAGAGGAAUACUCAUUGCGAAGGCGACCUGCUGGAACAUAACUGACGUUGAUGCGCGAAAGCGUGGGGAGCAAACAGGAUUAGAUACCCGUGUAGUC